UGGAAAAGCUUGCAACAUUCCGUCUCCCUAGCAGACGAUCAUCUAAGAGAAGUGUGGAAAUCCGUGAGCGAUUCAGGAGAUUCAGCCACGGUUAUGAAACAACGACAAAGUGUGGAAAAGCAACAUGACACAAAUGUGGAAGAAGUCUUUGAAGGAGAAUUCCCUCCUAAAGAACCAAGGACCAUCCCGACAGUAGGCCUACAUGAUUUGGAGGUGGAGAUUCCAGAAGCAAGGGGGCGCUGGGAAGAGAGGCUUCAUCAUAAGCGAACAAACAUUC